rnacentral:rRNA from 1 species
GAUGAACGCUGGCGGCGCGCCUAACACAUGCAAGUCGAACGAUUAAAGCACCUUCGGGUGUGUAUAAAGUGGCGAACGGCUGAGUAACACGUGGGCAACCUGCCCCUUUCAUUGGGAUAGCCACGGGAAACCGUGGAUAAUACCGAAUACUUCGAGACUUCCGCAUGGAAGACUCGAGAAAGCUCCGGCGGAGAGGGAUGGGCCCGCGGCCUGUUAGCUUGUUGGUGGGGUAACGGCCUACCAAGGCAAUGAUGGGUAGCUGGGUUGGGGGACCGACCAGCCAGAUUGGGACUGAGACACGGCCCAGACUCCUACGGGAGGCAGCAGUGGGGAAUCUUGCACAGUGGGCGAAAGCCUGAUGCAGCGACGCCGCGUGCGGGAUGAAGGCCUUCGGGUUGUAAACCGCUUUCAGCAGGGACGAGGCGAAAGUGACGGUACCUGCAGAAGAAGCCCCGGCUAACUACGUG